rnacentral:rRNA from 1 species
UACGUAGGGGGCAAGCGUUAUCCGGAUUUACUGGGUGUAAAGGGAGCGUAGACGGCGCGGCAAGUCUGAAGUGAAAGGCAGGGGCUUAACCCCUGAACUGCUUUGGGAACUGUACGGCUGGAGUGCAGGAGAGGUAAGUGGAAUUCCUAGUGUAGCGGUGAAAUGCGUAGAUAUUAGGAGGAACACCAGUGGCGAAGGCGGCUUACUGGACUGUAACUGACGUUGAGGCUCGAAAGCGUGGGGAGCAAACAGG